CAAGCCCUGGAAACGGGGUCUAAUACCGGAUAGGACUGCCGGCCGCAUGGUCUGGUGGUGGAAAGCGUUAGUGGUGCAGGAUGAGCCCGCGGCCUAUCAGCUUGUUGGUGGGGUGAUGGCCUACCAAGGCGACGACGGGUAGCCGGCCUGAGAGGGCGACCGGCCACACUGGGACUGAGACACGGCCCAGACUCCUACGGGAGGCAGCAGUGGGGAAUAUUGCACAAUGGGCGGAAGCCUGAUGCAGCGACGCCGCGUGGGGGAUGACGGCCUUCGGGUUGUAAACCUCUUUCAGCAGGGAAGAAGCUGUCCGAUGUUUCGGGUGGUGACGGUACCUGCAGAAGAAGCACCGGCUACCUACGUGCCAGCAGCCGCGGUAAUACGUAGGGUGCAAGCGUUGUCCGGAAUUAUUGGGCGUAAAGAGCUCGUAGGCGGCGUGUCGCGUCGGAUGUGAAAGCCCGGGGCUUAACCCUGGGUCUGCAUUCGAUACGGGCAGGCUAGAGUUCGGUAGGGGAGAUCGGAAUUCCUGGU
rnacentral:rRNA from 1 species